rnacentral:rRNA from 1 species
UACGUAGGGGGCAAGCGUUGUCCGGAUUUAUUGGGCGUAAAGAGCGUGUAGGCGGCCUGGAAGGUCAGCUGUGAAAACUCGAGGCUCAACCUCGAGACGUCGGUUGAAACCACUUGGCUAGAGUCCGGAAGAGGAGUGUGGAAUUCCCGGUGUAGCGGUGAAAUGCGCAGAUAUCGGGAAGAACACCCGUGGCGAAGGCGGCUCACUGGACCGGUAUUGACGCUGAGGUGCGAAAGCGUGGGGAGCAAACAGG